UACGUAGGGUGCGAGCGUUAAUCGGAAUUACUGGGCGUAAAGCGUGCGCAGGCGGUUCGUUGUGUCUGAUGUGAAAGCCCCGGGCUCAACCUGGGAAUGGCAUUGGAAACUGGCGAGCUGGAGUGUGGCAGAGGGGGGUGGAAUUCCCAGUGUAGAGGUGAAAUUCGUAGAUAUUGGGAAGAACACCGGUGGCGAAGGCGGCGCUCUGGACCGAGACUGACGCUGAGGCGCGAAAGCGUGGGGAGCAAACAGG
rnacentral:rRNA from 1 species